GUGAACCGUACCACGACUAGCAAAGAAGAACCAAGGAGCUGUGCCUAGGGCAGUGUACACUCAUUGUAGGCAGGAUAUAGAAAUUGCAGACCAAACACAGUCGGUGGAAGAUCAUUAUCGCGUGAAUUUAUUCUUCCCCUUAUAGCUCACAUAACUAUGGAUGAGAGGUUCUCUGAAAGUAAUGAGUCUACAUGUGCAUCAACAUGAGUCCUUAAACGUGAGGAAUGAAGAUUCGACAGAUCUACAAGCAAUGAAGAGUCUACAGAUACACGACGGAUCGCCGUGGUGAUGUGAGUGACAGGCUGAAGUCCUGGCCAUCAGCAGAACGGUCCGUCACAAAGAAGUUUCAGAGCUCGAGGAAGUUUGACGUGAUAGAGCGCUGAAGUUCACAGCAUACGAGAGGCGCCCGAGGGCCCUGUCAGCUCUGCUUUGAUUUGGAUCCGGAUCUCAGGGCUGGAAAUAGAGAUUAACAGAUGGCGGAGUCUCAGGCUGAGCGUCCGGGCCGGGCCUCACCCACGCCGUCACAUCGCUGGGGGUUUCUCACCGUGCCCACACGAGAGCUGCGGGAUCCAAGCAGAAAUGUUCGUCGUGUCAUGGAAGGAUUUUUCAUAAAUCCACAGCAAAGUUAUUUAUGUAUGAGUCGGCGUGAAGUCUUGCAUUAGUUCUGGGUGAACGAGGAAGCAGAAUUGAAUCGGGUCGAGUGGAGGAGUGAAUAUCCGUCUCAUCAUCUCUCACUUCACUGAGUCAGAACACGAACGCCCGACGAACAGAACCAACAGAUGCAAGCGUGGACGCAUGAAUGGAGCUGAUCUCAAAGCACACAGGUGGGCAUACCUGCGCAACACAAUUAACACACGCAGCUGGUCAAAAGCAGCGUUCAAACACACACAAACGUCUUCAGACUGUCUGUUGGGGAUGCUGCCAGCCAUUAUUAUAUGUAUCAUUGUUAUUAACUAACAAGAAGCACAGGGUGUCAUUCUAUGGGUUUCUAAAUUUAGAUAAAAAUCUGUAAAAAUAGGGCAAACUGUUCUGCAUUAAUGUGAAUAUUAAUAAUAUGAUAUUUAGGUUUUUUGUGUGUUAUUUGGAUUUUUUGUUUUGCACUUUAUUGGGUUGUGUUUUAAGGUAACGGAAAUGCCCCGAUAUGAAUAUUUUUAUUUAAUAGUUUUACACUCAUCAGCUACUGUAAACUGGUUUUAUUGAUCUCAAAAAUAUUUCUAAUUUCGCCCGAAUAGAUUCAUUUGUGCCCAAAACUAUAUCUUGUAGAAAUGGCUCUUUAAGUAACACUUCAGGUUAAUAUCCUAGAGAGAAUGCUAAAUAAAUCCAAUUUUAUUAAAUUUGUUGUGUCAAAAUGAUUUAAUAGCCAAUUUAUUUAUGUGA